UGGAAACGGACAGUAACUGCACCAAGAGGACGCCAGUCAGCGGAUUUUUCAACAUUUAUGUCCAACUUUGCUGACUGAUCAGCGGUGGUUUGUGAGCGUGGAGGGCCAGGUUGUCAGUGAGGGGGGGUCCUUUGUGCUGGGGUUUGCUGUUCUACUGUCAACUUACUACAACUUUAACCUGCAGUACCAGGACCAGGCUGCAUGCUCGUUGGAGUUCAUUCAGAGGAUCUGCAUGGGGAUUAAUCCUGAGAGAGGAUCAAAGGCACACAGUGGACCAACCCCCAGCAGAAAAACUGGAAAGAUGGUCCAGAAGAAACCUUCUACAGUGAACCCGCAUGUCUGCACCCUGAUAAGGAAGCUCAAUGACUUCAAGUGGGACUUUGUUUGAGUUUCUUUUGUAUUGUUUUGUUUAGCUGCAGUUAUUAUUUAUUGAUAAUCAUUUAACAAUAUCUGCAGAUAAAAGGCCAAUACUGCUAGUUUUUGUGUUUAGUUAAGUUCUUGCGGCUGUACUGUUUGGCCCCAUUCAAGUGCAUUGACGUUUGAUAAAUUGUUGAUAUAAUGAUUACUGCAUGAUUGAGCCAAGCAGUUAAAA